rnacentral:rRNA from 1 species
CAAUAGCGUAUAUUAAAGUUGUUGCAGUUAAAAAGCUCGUAGUUGAAUUUCGGGUCCCCGCGCUCGGCGCUUCAUUGUGCCGUCGUGGUGUCCCUCCUCGCCGUAAGGCGUCCUUUACUGUGAAAAAAUUAGAGUGUUCAAAGCAGGCAAUCGCUUGAAUACAUUAGCAUGGAAUAAUAAGAUAGGAUCUUGUCUAUUUUGUUGGUUGCGGACAACGACAAUGAUUAAUAGGGAUAGUUGGGGGUGUCCGUAUUGAGCUGUCAGAGGUGAAAUUCUUGGAUUUGCUCAAGACGAACUACUGCGAAAGCAUUCACCAAGGAUGUUUUCAUUAA